UCAUAAAACAAAGAAAAAGUACUUUCUAGUACUCUAAUGAUAAAAUUAUAUAUAAAACUAUACUAAAACACAAGCAAUGCCAAAGAGAAGAAGAAGGUUUUUGAAAGAAAAGAUGGUAGAGGAGUCUAUCAGGGGUUUCCUGAGAAUACACGAAUCGAUAUUAUAAAAUGUAUGUGAUUUGAUAAUUUUUCGUGUGUUCUCAGGUCGCCCCUGCUAGAUUUUUUUUCUACUAUUAGAUUGUUUUGGAUGAGAUAAGCAAAUAUUGUUCAGUCAUUCAGAUGGUUAUACAAUACAAGGUCUAGACGGUGAGAAGAGCUUGGGCCUAAAAUAAGCCUUUGAAGCCAAGAUGAUCGUUUCUAAAAGGCCAAUUUCCUAGACGUGAUUCGGUUUUGAAGAUUUUCUCUUGGGGAAUGCCUUUAUUCAAAGAGCAUUCGACCUAGACAAAUCUAUAAAACAAUCAGUUUUAAAAGGAAAUUGUCUAGGCCAUUCCUUACAAGAAAAUAGGCCAAGAUUGUCCAAUUUUUUAAUAGUGCGGAGUGCUAAUUCAUGUGCAAUCAUAAUUUACACUCCACAUUGGGUUGCCUGUUGGGCCUUAGCUCAUGAUACUUAGUGCAAUCUUAAGAAAUGUUAAUCUCUUUAUCAUUGUUGUUAAUCGAGAAUUGCUCUCUUGUUGUGCUAUGUUAAUUCGGCCCAAUGGCUUAUUUACUUAUAAAUAUGAUCAAUUAUCACUGUAAGUCUAUAAAAUAGAUUCAAAUUUUAGUUGUCGAGCAUAUGCUACUAAUAUUUUUUUUACUUUAAAUUUUAAAGAAAUAAUUUUACAGUGAAUAUUACUUUA